AUAAGAAGAUAAAUGAACUCUGUUAGCUCCACGACACUCUCAAAACAUCAGCCCACAGACUAAAUUGUUGGCGAUGGACAAAUUUGAAAAUGGAUGUCUUUCGUGGGACUGGGCGCUAUUUCUGCUGCUGUCAUGUCAUCAGCUGUUGCCUGUAUCUUGUUCUCCAGCUCCAUGUUUUCUAGGAACAUUUAUAAAUCUGAUUUUAGGCCAAAGUUUGUCUGGUGAGGGAGGUCAGUCCGUCGGGAACAGCGCGCUCAGUACCACAUCCAACGCUCUUUUACUGCAAAGUGAAGGGAUGCCGUAAAUAUUAUGAAUACAUUACUCCAGUCUGUCUGCUCUUAUAUGAAGGGCAAAGUCAUGCUUUGGCCUUUACAUCUGAUCAUGCUUCACCAGUCUCUUUAUCAUUUUUUACCCCGAAACACUCUUUCCUGGUAUUGAUAUGAGUUGUAACAAAAGUUUUCUUUUCCGGUUGAGUGCAGAAUUUACAAUAUCAGGAAGUUACAUCUGCAGCUUCAUUACUAAUUACAGGGUCUUCUCGGCAAUGAAGGAAGGGGGGGAUACCGUUUUCGCGUAGCUGGAAGCUCUUUCAAACAUCUGCAAAAAUUGACCGCUGUGUAUAUAUUAUCUUUAGUUUACUAUUUCGUUAAGCCAUUUAAUGGAAUUAUGUUAUUAUGUGUGGACUUAAAUUUGAGAAAGAAACUAGUGAAAUGCUACAUUUGGAGCAUCGCU